AACGCGAAGAACCUUACCCAGGCUUGACAUGCACAGGACGACGGUAGAGAUAUCGUUUCCCUUCGGGGCUUGUGCACAGGUGCUGCAUGGCUGUCGUCAGCUCGUGCCGUGAGGUGUUGGGUUAAGUCCCGCAACGAGCGCAACCCUUGUCAUUAGUUGCCAACACGUAAUGGUGGGAACUCUAAUGAGACUGCCUAGGUUAACUAGGAGGAAGGUGAGGAUGACGUCAAGUCAGCAUGGCCCUUAUGUCUGGGGCUACACACGUACUACAAUGGCCGGUACAGAAGGCAGCGAAGUCGCAAGGCGUAGCAAAUCCCCAAAGCCGGCCCCAGUUCAGAUUGUAGUCUGCAACUCGACUACAUGAAGUUGGAAUUGCUAGUAAUGGCGUGUCAGCAAUAACGCCGUGAAUACGUUCCCGGGCCUUGUACACACCGCAUAC
rnacentral:rRNA from 1 species